ensembl:lncRNA
AUGGCGCUGCAAACAUGUAUCGCGUUUUUGUUAGCAGACAGCUAUGAUGUUGAAGAUUUCUUAUUUUUCAAGAAAAAUGCAACUCGCAAACGUCGGAAAGUAAGAAUGAAGUUGAAAACUGAACCAAGUGAUGAUCUGCAAAGAGAGGAUGAAAAAAGAGAUGUUUUCAAUGCCGUGCUGCAAAGCUUGACAAUAAGUGAUUUUAAGAGUCACUUCCAGCUGACGACAUCUCAAACUGAGGAGCUGGUACGGCUGUUGGCACCUUGUAAAUGGACUGCUAUUAGGCAAGAGGGAUGGACAGUGUGGCAUGCAGUGCUUGCUAGUCUGUGGGCUCUUUCUACCCAAGAGGCUUACCACAGUGUGGCAAACCGUUUCCACAUCACAGAGUCACUCAUUUGUGUUCAGCUGGAUGAGUUCUGUACUUUUGUUACCAGUAACUUGGCUAAUGAAAUUCACUGGCCACACGGGGAGGAAGCAGAAAUGUCUGUGGUGGGGUUCCUUUCUACUGUGGGGUUACCAGAUACCCUCUGUGUAGUAGGAACAUGUUUCAUUCCUGUUGAGAAGCCUACAGAUGUGCCAGAUCCAGAGGUAUAUAGAGACACAGAGGGGUCGUAUUCUAUUAAACUCAUGGCUUUUUGCAACCACAAGGGUCGCUUUACCUACGUGUCUGCAGAGCACCCUAGAAAUUGGCAUAACUCAAGAGUCCUGUCCGCCACGGAGGUUGGCAAGGCAUUGCGAGAAAACCCUGUGGCUCUGCUACAUGGCAAACACAUUAUUGGCAAUUCCACCUUUCCACUUUCAGAGCACUUCCUGACUCCAUUCCCUGACUAUGCAACACUAGGACAGAAAAAAGUAUGUUAUAACCAGAAAGUGCAGUCAUCUCUUGCAGUGGCACAAGGCUCCAUCCAUACUCUGCGAUCUUGUUUUCAGAGGCUCAGAUGUCUGCAGAAGCAUUCCGUUUGCCAAACCAGUUUAGCUGUGAAGACCUGCUGUAUUUUAUACAACAUGUUCCUAGAGACGUAUAAUGUUCUAGUGGACUGCAUUGGGGACGAUUUAACCCAAAAGCCUUUCCAUGAACUACGCUAUGGACACUCUGGAAGUCUUGGUGGAAUAUCUAAAAGACAAGACAUUGCAGCCUCACUUGGGCGAACCACUAAAAAAAGAAAAUAUAUGUACAGUUAGUGUUGAAAAGUAAUGUUGCGUAUGAUAAUGAAUACAUGUUGACAAAAUGUUCUAGUUUAAUUUAUAAGGUGACUGUUUUGUUAAUCACUGUAGUAUGUAAAUGUUAUGUACACUUAUUUUGUCAUAAUGCAAUGCAAAAGUGUUUGUAUAAUAAAACAAUAUCCUCCAUAAGGAUCUAAAGUUUU